AGAUCGAGAAAUAAAAUUUUAAUCGUACGUAAUACUUCAUUAGGCAUAGAAGGAAUCACUGAAAAAAUUAAUGAAGAAAUUAAUGAAAAUCAUUAGUAAAUUAUGAUCAACUUAAAUUGGAUGUUAAAAUAAAACAUGUAAUUGAAAGGAGACAAGAUGGCACACUGGCGACUGGUUUAAAUGGAUAACUAAUACAAUUUAUUAUGAUGUGUAACAUCUGUAUUGAAUAUCUAAUGGACCAAAAUUUUGGUAUUGAAUACAAAAAUAAUUUUCCAUAAUCUAYCUUAAUUGAAACCAAUCACUGAACAACAUACAAAAUACAUAACAAACCAAAUUGUUUGCAAAUGUAUCCACUGCAUAAAUAUGUAUACAACAUUUAUUUUCAUCUCAGUUAUACCAAAGUUAUAUUAUCAGUUAUUAAAGAACCAAAAAUUUAA